rnacentral:rRNA from 1 species
UACGAAGGGGGCUAGCGUUACUCGGAAUCACUGGGCGUAAUGCGCACGUAGGCGGAUUGCUAAGUCAGGGGUGAAAUCCUGGAGCUCAACUCCAGAACUGCCUUUGAUACUGGCGAUCUUGAGUCCGGGAGAGGUGAGUGGAACUGCGAGUGUAGAGGUGAAAUUCGUAGAUAUUCGCAAGAACACCAGUGGCGAAGGCGGCUCACUGGCCCGGUACUGACGCUGAGGUGCGAAAGCGUGGGGAGCAAACAGG